rnacentral:rRNA from 1 species
CACGUAGGGUGCGAGCGUUGUCCGGAAUUAUUGGGCGUAAAGAGCUCGUAGGCGGUGUGUCGCGUCGGCCGUGAAAACCUGCAGCUUAACUGUGGGCUUGCGGUCGAUACGGGCAUUACUGGAGUUCGGCAGGGGAGACUGGAAUUCCCGGUGUAGCGGUGAAAUGCGCAGAUAUCAGGAGGAACACCGGUGGCGAAGGCGGGUCGCUGGCUCGAUACUGACGCUGAGGUGCGAAAGCGUGGGGAGCAAACAGG